UGACAUUAUAUUUUAUACAAGUUACACUCUAAAAAAUGUUGGGUUAUUUUUUCUACCCAACCGCUGGGUUAAGCCUGUUGGGUCAUUUUAUUGGGUUAUUUUCUCAGUGUUGGGUAGUUUUUAGUGUAACCCAGCCGCUGGGUUACUAGUUGGGUCAAUUUUAGUGACAGUUGACACAGUAAACCCCUCCCCCUCCUCGACGCCUCAACUUUACCUACGCGGGCAUUUUGAAUCACCUCAGGAGUCAAGAGCCAUCGUUUUUCAGUGAGGACAGCUGUUAUUCGGAGAAAAAAGGGUUGGGACCAACAUGGUUGAAUAUUUGAAGGAGGCAGAGCUCACUAAACCCUUUCCCUUUGUCCUUGGUCUUGGGGAUGCCGGUCAAUGCCAUCAAGCCUUUGUAGUUGUUGGCAAACAGACACUGCAUCAAAACACACUCCUUGGUGCUGUGGACACGUGCUUAAAACUUUUUUAUGUUUUAGACAUCCAUUUCCCGCAGCAGUGUGCACCAGUGUGGGAGUUUUUGCAGACUGUUGUCUACAAACUCCCAGGAACUGAAUCUCCUUCUGUAAGACUGCUCCAUGGAUAUUUGUCAUGUUGAGCAGUACUGGAACCAUGACAAUUAACCCUUUCUAAAAUGUUAUGCAAGUUUAUAUUAAGAGGAAAGUUGUCAGACUAAUACAUAUAUCUAAAGCAUUUUACUUGUAUCACAUUUUACUUGUUCAUGUGCCUCUUUGUUAAACAUACUCUCUAAAAAGUUAUGAGUUUAUAUGAAGGGGAAAGUCAUCUAACUAAUAUAUAUGAAGCAUUGUACUUGUGUCUUAUACUUGUGUAUAUAAUGUAAAUGUUUAAAUCUAAGCUAAUUUAAUUUAUUGAUAUUUAUUUUUUUAUAUUUAUAAAAUGGAAGUUGUAUUUAUAUUUUAUAUGCUGUUUUAUUGUUCAUUGAACAUGAAAAAAUAUCAUGCUUUUUUGCUAUAUGAAUUAUAUAUUUAUGUCUUGCAUUUGGAUGUUCUUUUUU
ensembl:lncRNA